GAGACAAGCAUAUGACUACUGGCAGGAUCAACCAGGUAGCAUUCCUCAACGACGUCAUCACCGCACGGCCAGGCCGAGACGGGAGCGACGGUCGUGCACCGUUGGUGUCUAAUGCAUGAUCGGGCAACAAUAAGAGGUGCGAGACCUCAAUGCCCUCAGUGCUUUCCGUAUCCGAGAGCUCGAGCGAUGUCCCGUUCACCGCGACGACAUAGAAUCGAAGCAUUCCUCAACGACGUCGUCACCGCACGGCCAGGCCGAACGAGCGACGGUCGUGCACCGUUGGUGUCUAAUGCAUGAUCGGGCAACAAUAAGAGGUGCGAGACCUCAAUGCCCUCAGUGCUUUCCGUAUCCGAGAGCUCGAGCGAUGCCCCGUUCACCACGACGACAUAGAAGCGACGCGGGUAACAGGCCAUGCUGCGUGUUUCGUCUCGUGACCCGCUAAGCAGCGGACCGCUAAACGAACGAGGGACGUUGGGACAAACGAAUGCCAUCGUGUGGGUACGCAACACAGGAAACCGGGGUCACGGCCAAGGCUAUGCCGCACUUGGGCCAAAACUGAGGAGUCGUGAGAGGCACGUCGUCGCUGCCCGAAGCAGGGAUCCAACGCA
rnacentral:misc_RNA from 1 species